CCCGAAAGGAUACAGAUAUAGUCCUGAAGAAAAAAAGACGAAGCGAGGAAGAAGAAGAGGAUCGGGCUGUAGUAGUAUCAAGACUGGUGCUAUUGCUUCUUCUUCUUCUUCCUCUUCUUCUUCUUCUUCUUCUUCUUC
rnacentral:ribozyme from 1 species